UGGGGAAUUUUGGACAAUGGGGGCAACCCUGAUCCAGCCAUGCCGCGUGAGUGAAGAAGGCCUUCGGGUUGUAAAGCUCUUUCGGCGGGGACGAAACGGUCCGUGACAACACCACGGACUAAUGACAGUACUCGCAGAAGAAGCACCGGCUAACUACGUGCCAGCAGCCGCGGUAAUACGUAGGGUGCAGGCGUUGUUCGGAAUCACUGGGCGUAAAGGGUGCGUAGGCGGUGAAGUGUGUCUGGCGUGAAAUUCCUCAGCUUAACUGGGGAACUGCGUUAGAAACUGCUUUGCUAGAGUGCAAGAGGGGAUGGUGGAAUUCCCGGUGUAGAGGUGAAAUUCGUAGAUACCGGGAGGAACAUCUGGGGCGAAGGCGACCAUCUGGCUUGACACUGACGCUGAGGCACGAAAGCGUGGGUAGCAAACAGGAUUAGAUACCCAUGUAGUCCCUGAGCGGGCUGGCAAGGCGCAU
rnacentral:rRNA from 1 species